rnacentral:rRNA from 1 species
CUUGCUGGGUGGAUUAGUGGCGAACGGGUGAGAACACGUGAGUAACCUGCCCUUAACUCUGGGAUAAGCCUGGGAAACUGGGUCUAAUACCGGAUAGGAGCGUCCACCGCAUGGUGGGUGUUGGAAAGAUUUAUCGGUUUUGGAUGGACUCGCGGCCUAUCAGCUUGUUGGUGAGGUAAUGGCUCACCAAGGCGACGACGGGUAGCCGGCCUGAGAGGGUGACCGGCCACACUGGGACUGAGACACGGCCCAGACUCCUACGGGAGGCAGCAGUGGGGAAUAUUGCACAAUGGGCGMAAGCCUGAUGCAGCGACGCCGCGUGAGGGAUGACGGCCUUCGGGUUGUAAACCUCUUUCAGUAGGGAAGAAGCGAAAGUGACGGUWCYUGCAGAAGAAGCACCGGCUAACUACGUGCCAGCAGCCGCGGUAAUACGUAGGGUGCGAGCGUUAUCCGGAAUUAUUGGGCGUAAAGAGCUCGUAGGCGGUUUGUCGCGUCUGUCGUGAAAGUCCGGGGCUUAACCCCGGAUCUGCGGUGGGUACGGGCAGACUAGAGUGCAGUAGGGGAGACUGGAAUUCCUGGUGUAGCGGUGGAAUGCGCAGAUAUCAGGAGGAACACCGAUGGCGAAGGCAGGUCUCUGGGCUGUAACUGACGCUGAGGAGCGAAAGCAUGGGGAGCGAACAGGAUUAGAUACCCUGGUAGUCCAUGCCGUAAACGUUGGGCACUAGGUGUGGGGACCAUUCCACGGUUUCCGCGCCGCAGCUAACGCAUU